UACGUAGGGGGCAAGCGUUGUCCGGAAUCAUUGGGCGUAAAGCGCGUGUAGGCGGUUCAGUAAGUCUGCUGUGAAAGUCCAGGGCUCAACCCUGGGAUGCCGGUGGAUACUGCUGGACUAGAGUGCGGAAGAGGCGAGUGGAAUUCCCGGUGUAGCGGUGAAAUGCGUAGAUAUCGUAAGGAAGACCAGUGGCGAAGGCGGGUCUCUGGACAGUUCCUGACGCUGAGGCACGAAGGCCAGGGGAGCAAACGGG
rnacentral:rRNA from 1 species